AACGAACGCUGGCGGCAUGCCUAACACAUGCAAGUCGAACGAGACCUUCGGGUCUAGUGGCGCACGGGUGCGUAACGCGUGGGAACCUGCCCUUAGGUUCGGAAUAACUCCCCGAAAGGGGUGCUAAUACCGGAUAAUGUCUUCGGACCAAAGAUUUAUCGCCUUUGGAUGGGCCCGCGUUGGAUUAGCUAGUUGGUAGGGUAAAAGCCUACCAAGGCGACGAUCCAUAGCUGGUCUGAGAGGAUGAUCAGCCACACUGGGACUGAGACACGGCCCAGACUCCUACGGGAGGCAGCAGUGGGGAAUAUUGGACAAUGGGCGAAAGCCUGAUCCAGCAAUGCCGCGGGAGUGAUGAAGGCCUUAGGGUGGUAAAGCUCUUUUACCCGGGAUGAUAAGGACAGGACCGGGAGAAUAAGCUCCGGCUAACUCCGG
rnacentral:rRNA from 1 species